GGGGUUCUGGCUCAGUAGGAGAGCCUCUGCUUUGCAUGCAGAAGGUCAAAGGGUUCUGUCCCUGGUAUCUCCA
rnacentral:tRNA from 1 species